rnacentral:rRNA from 1 species
GGGGAAUUUUGGACAAUGGGCGCAAGCCUGAUCCAGCAAUGCCGCGUGAGUGAAGAAGGCCUUCGGGUUGUAAAGCUCUUUUGUCAGGGAAGAAACGGUGCUUUCUAAUACAGAGCGCUAAUGACGGUACCUGAAGAAUAAGCACCGGCUAACUACGUGCCAGCAGCCGCGGUAAUACGUAGGGUGCAAGCGUUAAUCGGAAUUACUGGGCGUAAAGCGUGCGCAGGCGGUUUUGUAAGACUGUCGUGAAAUCCCCGGGCUCAACCUGGGAAUGGCGAUGGUGACUGCAAGGCUAGAGUUUGGCAGAGGGGGGUAGAAUUCCACGUGUAGCAGUGAAAUGCGUAGAUAUGUGGAGGAACACCGAUGGCGAAGGCAGCCCCCUGGGUCAAAACUGACGCUCAUGCACGAAAGCGUGGGGAGCAAAC